rnacentral:tRNA from 1 species
GCAUUGGUGGUUCAAUGGCAGAAUGCUUGCUUACCAUGCAGGGGACCUGGUUUCACUUCCCAGCCAGUGCA